GUUUGACCAACUAUACUUACACACAGUUUUUCAAUGUCGUGGGCAACUGUAGUGGGCCUUUUGAGUACAUUCACCUACAUUUUCAUGGACAAUUACGUGGUUGAAAGGAUUAUAUAGUUAAACUAGGAAUUUAUUUACAGCCCAUCUGGUCGUCUGACCCUUUGUAUUGCUUGUCCAUCUAAUAAUGUUAUCACAGAUGUUAUCAUUGCCCCAGAACCCACUAAAGAAGUUACUAUAACGAAAAGCCUACAAAAAUAGGACCUAGAUUUGAAAACAAGAAAAAUGAUUUCGAGUAGAUGCUGUGCAUUGUCAAAGAAAAUAAAAGACACAAUUUAUAAUGCCCCUAUGUGCUUGACUAUUAGCAAAUGAGAUGAUGAAGUGUGCACAAGGACUGAAUUAGAAAAAUGUGGGUGGUGGCUGCCGUCCAGCUGGCUCUUUGUGACAGGAUGUGUGUUGCAACCAACAUGAAAUUUAGAAAACUGAUGUGAAUUGACUCCAAUAGUGAUAUUAAACAUAAGUUUAAGUCAACAAUAAUCACACAAAUCCAAGCUAUCGCGUUCAAUUUGAAAUCAUUGCUUUUUCUUUUUUUUCAGAACGUGACAAAGAGCAUGAGAGUCUUCUCUUGGCACUAACAUCUUUCAAAGAUAAUCUGUCCCUGAUCUCAAAGUGUGUAGCGUACAUGGCAUCAUCAAAAAUUCAGCACCUUACAUCAGCAUCAACAAAGAGAUUGCAGGCUUUAUCAACGCCAUUCACCCAUUUUGUGGCGACACAGAGAACCUGACAGCCUUCCGCUUCUACGCCCUCAACCCCAUUGUGGAUCCCUGGGUCUUCAUCAUCUGCCGCAAGUCUGUGUUUCGCCACCUUUGCUCUCUGCUGAGCUGCCGCUUCAGCAGAGGAGCCAUGAAGUCAACAGCACACUGUGCGCUGUCUUUACCCCUUGACAAUCACAUACAGUGCAACCCCCCAGAUGUGACAGUUCCACAGGCCAACAUGUACCCAAAUUUACCUCCGUGACCUAACAAAAACCCUCAGCUGUGCAGGGUGUCUGGAGGCUGGGAAACUUUCAACUCUAAUAAAAAUUGGAAUGAACUUUUACAUUUGCAUAAAGGAUUCUUCCACUCCUUUACCUUAUAAGGCACACAGACUUUGGCAAAGAAUAAUGUGUCACAAUGGAAAUCUUCUUUCUUUCUCUAUGAACUAACUAAAAAAUUAUUGCACUGGGUCUUGAACUUCAUUGACUGAUGGAAACUGUUGCAAGGAGAGAUGUGCCAUAAAACAAACAGCACUGUAACUUAGCACUAAGGAACACAUCAAACCAUAUCAUGCCUAUGAAUAAUAUACUGUAAAAUAAGAAAUAUGCACUCGGGUAAUCAACAUGCAUGAAUGUAUACUGUCUUCUUUUUUAUCUUAGCCUUUUCUUUAAGACACAGCAGAUAACCGUCGGUUAAUGGAUUGUCCUCAUCUACAAUUUCUAAGACAUGAGAUGCAGGUCACUCUCAACAUGAAAAUCAUAGUUUAUUUCCCUCGCUUUCAUCACUGGGGGCGAUGACAUGUUCAUAAAUUUCCCCUGACCAGAAUUAUGAUGUAGCAGUCAUCAGUUACCGGUCAGAGUGAUCCAAGAGAGAGACAUGUAUUUUAUUCAACUGAGGAGAAGUUUAUUAAAAAAUUAUUUGAUCACCAAAGUUAUCGCAACUUAUCCAUUCUGGCACCAAACAAUAGAUAAGAUACGGCAAUCCAUCCAAUAGUUGUUGAGACAUUUUACUCAGAACUAAGAAUGUGAACCUCGUGGUGGCAAUCGACAAAAAGUCAGGGGAUCAGUAGGCAUCUUUUCGGGAACAUGAACGCCUGCACAGAACUUUAUGGCCAUCCAUCCAAUAGUUGUUGAGAUAUUUCACUCAGGACCAAAGUGGUGGAAAGACAGACCGACACUGCCAUCUCUAGAGCGACACCUGUUUUCUAAAACACACAUCUUAUAAUCUCAUAUUGCAGCAUUGUUCCGCCUGCAGUGGAGCGCAGACCACUAGUACUAUGAAACAAAUAAUAUACAGUAUGUGUACCAAGAAUAUGCACCAUAUCAGAAUCUCAUCUGUUUGGCUGCUGUAGUCAGUCAAAAACUUCUUAUCCAGACAAUUAUGUCACUGUAUUGCCUGAACAUUUGAUUCCACCCUUCCUUCUCAUUUUCACUGAUUUCUAAGCUACUUAUGAUGAUUAUCUGUGAAGAGUCUCUCACAUUUGAAAAACUCUGCUGCUGCAAAAUGCACUGGGAGGAUUAGUCCUUUGUUGUUGUUGUGACUUUAAUGAUGUAACUGCAUUUAAUGUAGCACAUUUAUGCCUUUUCACUGUUCUAUAAUGCUGUAUCUCCUUGCAAUGCUUUGGUUUAUACAGUGGAGUGCAGCAUAUAUGAGAUAUAUGGAUAACACAGAUAGUGAUUUGAAUUUGUUUAUGUUUGUUUUUCGGCUGCAUUGCACAUUCACUUUACACUUUAUAGUCCUUAAAUGCUCAAUCAUGCAUGACCCGAGGUAAGUCAGACACAUCACCACUUGUACAAUUGGUCUUUAAGGGUAUGAGGAUUUGAGUAGUACAGCCAUUAAAAUUAAUGAAAGAAUACAUUUUUAGAAGAAAAAAAAAUUGUAUUCUUUAUACAGUACACAUUUUGUUCAUGUGAAAUAAAGUAUUAAUAAAGAAAAACUGUCUCACAAUGUCUAUGUCACUGUUUAUGCUGUUAUAUGUGAUGUUCAACACUCCUACAUAUUAAAAAACAUACUGCUCUC